rnacentral:rRNA from 1 species
CGGUAUGGCGACCGGCGCACGGGUGAGUAACACGUAUCCAACCUGCCGAUGACUCGGGGAUAGCCUUUCGAAAGAAAGAUUAAUACCCGAUGGCAUAGUUCUUCCGCAUGGUAGAACUAUUAAAGAAUUUCGGUCAUCGAUGGGGAUGCGUUCCAUUAGGUUGUUGGCGGGGUAACGGCCCACCAAGCCUUCGAUGGAUAGGGGUUCUGAGAGGAAGGUCCCCCACAUUGGAACUGAGACACGGUCCAA